rnacentral:tRNA from 1 species
GCGGGAGUAGCUCACCUGGCAGAGCGCAACCUUCCCAAGGUUGAGGUAGCGAGUUCAAGUCUCGUCUCCCGCUCCA